GACGAACGCUGGCGGCGUGCUUAACACAUGCAAGUCGAACGGUAAGGCCCUUCGGGGUACACGAGUGGCGAACGGGUGAGUAACACGUGGGUGAUCUGCCCUGCACUUCGGGAUAAGCCUGGGAAACUGGGUCUAAUACCGGAUAGGACCACUGCCUGCAUGGGUGGUGGUGGAAAGCUUUUGCGGUGUGGGAUGGGCGCGCGGCCUAGCAGCUUGUUGGUGGGGUGAUGGCCUACCAAGGCGACGACGGGUAGCCGGCCUGAGAGGGUGACCGGCCACACUGGGACUGAGAUACGGCCCAGACUCCUACGGGAGGCAGCAGUGAGGAAUAUUGCACAAUGGGCGCAAGCCUGAUGCAGCGACGCCGCGUGAGGGAUGACGGCCUUCGGGUUGUAAACCUCUUUCAGCACCGACGAAGCGCAAGUGACAGUAGGUGCAGAAGAAGGACCGGCCAACUACGUGCCAGCCGCCGCAGUAA
rnacentral:rRNA from 1 species